CCAUCGGUGGUUCAGUGGUAGAAUGCUAGCCUGCCCGGGUUCGAUUCCCGGCCGAUGCA
rnacentral:tRNA from 1 species